rnacentral:rRNA from 1 species
CAGCCGCCGCGGUAAAACGGAGGGUGCAAGCGUUAUCCGGAUUUAUUGGGUUUAAAGGGUCCGUAGGCGGAUCUGUAAGUCAGUGGUGAAAUCUCACAGCUUAACUGUGAAACUGCCAUUGAUACUGCAGGUCUUGAGUAAAUUUGAAGUGGCUGGAAUAAGUAGUGUAGCGGUGAAAUGCAUAGAUAUUACUUAGAACACCAAUUGCGAAGGCAGGUCACUAAGAUUUAACUGACGCUGAUGGACGAAAGCGUGGGGAGCGAACAGGAUUAGAUACCCGGGUAGUCCCUGUCUCUUAUAA